rnacentral:rRNA from 1 species
GCUUUCGGCCAUACCAACCUGGCUAUGCCCGAUCUCGUCUGAUCUCGGAAGCUAAGCAGGUUUGGGCUUGGUUAGUACUUGGAUGGGAGACCACCUGGGAAUACCAGGUGCUGUAAGCU